GUUGCAUCUGAGGUUAUUUGUCCUUUUCAUGGUUAAUUAAUUAUAUUAUACAGACAAUUGUUACUAUUAGCGGAGACAUCUUUUAAUAUACGACUAAAUGAAUGAAGGGUUGGUGCACAAAUCUUACCAGACACAAUCUGAUUGUGUAGGAGUUUGUGUUUUUUCACAAAAACACUCGAGGUGCCUAUCCGAGAACUCUCAUCAUCCUCAUCAUCAUCGCCCUCCCACACAGCGUGAUGUCUGGCCAUGUGGCAGAAUCGUUCCCACUGACUAUUUUGGCCGUGGUCCUCAUUCUCUGGAUUCAUUUGAAUCUAUUCAUUCAAAACAUCCCUUGCUUAACCUUUGCAUAUCUUUUUCAAAUCGCAAGUAAGGGAAUCACUGAGCUCUGGUGACCUUUCCUGCAGUCCCAUUCGCUCAACACGGUUCCCCUCAAAUCAUCCGCGGCAGUCUGCCAGUGCACACGGGACCAGUUGCCUCCCCUUGACUUUAGUGGCAGUAGCAAUCGAUUUUUGUAUGAUCCAUGCCUUCCUGCAGAACCCGUCUUCAUCAUCCAAAAGUGCAUGUUCUGGGUUUGUGCGUGACAGAAGAAAACCAGUUACCUCCAGGAUUGGAAUUGCUGCAGCGCUGCACCAUGACUCUGUUUUGAAAUGAGGAAAUUACAGAGGUGAUUCACGAGACAACAUAAUUGCUGUUCUAUUAAGCAAAUGAGCACCCACGAGGCCUCCCAAAAGGCAGAACAGGAGUUGCACCGUUGCAUCUGGCAUGGAGACGGUGGACCAUGUGCUCUGUGCUCUCGCCAUCUCCACAGCAGAGGACAGGCUGCUGAACAUUAUGGACGACCAGCAUGAAUCCCUGGCAGCCAUCUACGACUCCCCGAACUGCGGUGCUCAGGUUUUGACAGGACCACACUCGGGCUGUCCUAGGACAGUGUGACGGAUGAUUCUCAAGAUGUGAGGGGGGGGAGACGCCUCCGGGGUUGACAACUUUCCCACAUGACCAAUCUGUUGGCCAGCCAAAAUGUCCUCUGUAAAAUAAAAAGUGACUUCAUAAUACUGAUAGAAGGUUACUUUAUAACUUUUAUUUGUUAGCACCGUCAGUUUAUCGUUCUUUAAAAACCAACAACUAGUGACAAUAGUUUUUAUGUUUAGGUUUGAGAUAGCACUCA
ensembl:lncRNA